UAUCUCUGUAGAGUCUGCAUAUCAAUAAGCGGAGGAAAAGAAACUAACUAGGAUUCCCUCAGUAACGGCGAGUGAAGCGGGAAGAGCUCAAAUUUGAAAUCUUCAAGGUUCUACCUUGACGAAUUGUAGUUUAAAGAAGUGUUUUCUGUUGAAGUUUUGGUAAAAGUUCUUUGGAAUAGGACAUCAUAGAGGGUGAGAAUCCCGUAUUUGACCAUUAUUUCCAGCUUUGUGAUACACUUUCAAAGAGUCGGAUUGUUUGGGAAUGCAGUCCAAAAUGGGUGGUAAAUUUCAUCUAAAGCUAAAUAUUGGCGAGAGACCGAUAGCGAACAAGUACCGUGAGGGAAAGAUGAAAAGAACUUUGAAAAGAGAGUUAAACAGUACGUGAAAUUGUCAAAAGGGAAGCGUUUGACACCAGUGUUGUUUUCUCGAAAAUCAAUUAAAAAAAGUUGGAUUUUGUAUUGUUAAGACCUUAUCAGCUUACUGUACUCUUUUCUUGCUUUUUUUAAUGCACUUUUCGUUUAACAAGUCAACAUCAAUUUCUUUUGUUGUAAAAGAGUCAUUGGAAGGUGGCUUUCACUUCGGUGAAAGUGUUUAUAGCCUUUGGCUUCUGCAAUCGGAGAGAUUGAGGUCUGCAGCGUAGAUCCUUCGGGGCUAGAUACGUAGAUGCUAAGUUAUAGUUUUUUAUAGACAACUUGUUGACUAUAAUUAAUCAUGUAGCUUACUCGUUUGCGCUAUUUUACCUACGCUUAGGAUGUUGAUAAUCACAGCGUGUAC
rnacentral:rRNA from 1 species